rnacentral:ncRNA from 10 species
AUCGUUCAACUCUUUUUGAGUCGGAAGUAAGCAUUGUGCUGACGGAACGCAUG